CAUCAAGCCUGGUUAUGAAUCUUACCAGCCCGUGACAGUUGCCCAGCAAUUUGGCCUCGGACUAGUUCCUCCUCACUUUCACCUUCACCAACUUACAGAAUGCAGAGCUGAUCUCCCCGACUCCAUUACUGUUCAAUGGUGCUACUCACUGUUUGACGACCUGAAGAUCCUCAUCCUAGCCGACUUGUGCUUCACCUUCUCAACUGACGGAUUCAGCUCAUGGUGGGGGAUGGGGAAGUCCCAUGCCUUCCAGAGGGCUUUGGGGCCACCGCUGCAGCAGAUUGAUACCGAAUACGAGGUCCUUGACGGGGAGGUAUUGCUCCUGAUCCUCUCAUGAUCUGUAUCCUUCAUUGUUGACUCCACUUGCUCUUCUUUGCAGCAACGGGAAGAACAAGAGCCUUUAUACGAUGAUGGCAUCCCCUCCGGC
rnacentral:misc_RNA from 1 species